GCCCGCGUGGGAUAACACUGACGCUCAUGCACGAAAGCGUGGGGAGCAAACAGGAUUAGAUACUGUGGUAGUACACGCCCUAAACGAUGUCAACUAGUUGUUGGGGAUUCAUUUCCUUAGUAACGUAGCUAACGCGUGAAGUUGCCCUCCGGGGGAGUACGGUCGCAAGAUUAAAACUCAAAGGAAUUGACGGGGACCCGCACAAGCGGUGGAUGAUGUGGAUUAAUUCGAUGCAACGCGAAAAACCUUACCUACCCUUGACAUGCCACUAACGAAGCAGAGAUGCAUUAGGUGCUCGAAAGAGAAAGUGGACACAGGUGCUGCAUGGCUGUCGUCAGCUCGAGUCGUGAGAUGUUGGGUUAAGUCCCGCAACGAGCGCAACCCUUGUCUCUAGUUGUUACGAAAGGGCACUCUAGAGAGACUGCCGGUGACAAACCGGAGGAAGGUGGGGAUGACGUCAAGUCCUCAUGGCCCUUAUGGGUAGGGCUUCACACGUCAUACAAUGGUGCAUACAGAGGGUUGCCAAGCCGCGAGGUUAAGC
rnacentral:rRNA from 1 species